AUACGUAGGUGGCAAGCGUUGUCCGGAAUUAUUGGGCGUAAAGCGCAUGUAGGCGGUAAUUUAAGUCUGUCGUGAAACUGCGGGGCUCAGCCCCGUAUGGCGAUGGAAACUGGGUUACUUGAGUGCAGGAGAGGAAAGGGGAACUCCCAGUGUAGCGGUGAAAUGCGUGGAUAUUGGGAAGAACACCGGUGGCGAAGGCGCCUUUCUGGAAUGUGUCUGACGCUGAGAUGCGAAGGCCGGGGUAGCGAACGGGAUUAGAUACCCCGGGAGUCCUGGCCGUAAACGAUGGGUACUAGGUGUGGGAGGUAUCGACCCCUUCCGUGCCGGAGUUAACGCAAUAAGUACCCCGCCUGGGGAGUACGGCCGCAAGGCUUAAACUCAAAUGAAUUGACGGGG
rnacentral:rRNA from 1 species